AUUCCUUCGGGAUGACGGUUUAGUGACUGAGUGGCGGACGGGUGAGUAACGCGUGGGGAACCUGCCCCAUACCGGGGGAUAACAGCCGGAAACGGCUGCUAAUACCGCAUAAGCGCACAGUACCGCAUGGUACGGUGUGAAAAACUCCGGUGGUAUGGGAUGGACCCGCGUCUGAUUAGCCAGUUGGCGGGGUAACGGCCCACCAAAGCGACGAUCAGUAGCCGGCCUGAGAGGGCGACCGGCCACAUUGGGACCGAGACACGGCCCAGACUCCUACGGGAGGCAGCAGUGGGGAAUAUUGCACAAUGGGGGAAACCCUGAUGCAGCGACGCCGCGUGAGUGAGGAAGUAUUUCGGUAUGUAAAGCUCUAUCAGCAGGGAAGAAGAAAUGACGGUACCUGACUAAGAAGCCCCGGCUAACUACGUGCCAGCAGCCGCGGUAAUACGUAGGGGGCAAGCGUUAUCCGGAUUUACUGGGUGUAAAGGGAGCGCAGGCGGCAUGAUAAGUCUGAUGUGAAAACCCAAGGCUCAACCAUGGGACUGCAUUGGAAACUGUCGUGCUGGAGUGUCGGAGAGGUAAGCGGAAUUCCUAGUGUAGCGGUGAAAUGCGUAGAUAUUAGGAGGAACACCAGUGGCGAAGGCGGCUUACUGGACGAUGACUGACGCUGAGGCUCGAAAGCGUGGGGAGCAAACAGG
rnacentral:rRNA from 1 species